UACGUAGGGGGCAAGCGUUGUCCGGAUUUAUUGGGCGUAAAGAGCGUGUAGGCGGCCUGAAAGGUCAGCUGUGAAAACUCGAGGCUCAACCUCGAGACGUCGGUUGAAACCAUCUGGCUAGAGUCCGGAAGAGGAGUGUGGAAUUCCCGGUGUAGCGGUGAAAUGCGCAGAUAUCGGGAAGAACGCCCGUGGCGAAGGCGGCACUCUGGGACGGUACUGACGCUGAGACGCGAAAGCGUGGGGAGCGAACAGG
rnacentral:rRNA from 1 species